CUUAUUUUGGUUGAAAUCGGGAAUAUGAAGAUUAGGCACUCAGCUGUAAAAUAGAAUAGCAACAACAAGAAAAAUGUUGCUUUCCAGAAACAUGAACAUAGUACCUGACAGUACACUCCCCCACUGAACACCAUGUGAGUGGAUACAAAAGCACAUCAGGAAGAGGCUUUUGUUCAUGAAGGUGGUAUGUACAAGGAUCUUGGCUCUGAGCAUGCUACAGACUGGACAAUCAGACUUUGGAGCAGAUGUGACUGAGGAACUAACCAAAUGGUAAGAAAAAGUUAUUUUUCUUUUUCCAACGUAUCUUCCACUGAAGAGAGAUAGGGUUAAAUACCAAAUCACAUGAGUAAGAUGACAAAGACCCUACUACAAAUACACAAAAGAUGCCUACGUAUUUUCAGAAUAAUUAAGAAAUUUAUCUGUAUUUCUUAGUCUACUCUUUUAUAAUCAACAAAUACCUGCUAAUACAGUCCUGCCCUUCCAUUCAAAUUUACUGAUCCCAGACGAGGUCAUUCUGCCUAGAAGCCUGUAAGCAAAAUAAUAAAAAGGCAGUCUUAAUAAAGGAAUUUUAGAAA
rnacentral:lncRNA from 1 species